CGGAGCAACGCCGCGUGCAGGAUGAAGGUUUUCGGAUCGUAAACUGCUUUUCUCGGGGACGAGCAAGGACGGUACCCGAGGAAGAAGCCCCGGCUAACUACGUAC
rnacentral:rRNA from 1 species